rnacentral:pre_miRNA from 12 species
GUGACUGCUCUAUAGGAAACCUGGUUGUGGAGGAACUGAGUCAAACUCUAGGAGAGAUGUGGAAGUGGUAGAGAC